GCAGCCGCACACUCUUUGGGUCCGCCCGUUUCUCUAAUCAAGUUGUAACACUCGCUGCUGUGGUCCACAGCUUCAUUCCUUGAAGCCCGUGAGACACGAACGCUUCCAUUGAGAAAAACCUUCCAUCAGAAGAAGACUUCUCGUCUCAGUGGGACUGCUGAGUUGAAUGGCCCUAUACAUCAAAAGGUGAAGCUGGGUCAUGAAGGUCAUGAAGGCCCUCAGUGUGCAGCCUCUGUAAACCUGCUAAAACUAUUCUAUGGUGCUUUUUUUUCUGAAGCUUUGGUAGUGUAACUGUAAGAGUCCUGGAAUUGGAAAAGCAAAUCCAGAAGUUGAGUUCCAUGACUUUUUUGCUGUUUGCCUUUGGACUUGCAUCAUUUAUAUUUUUAAUUCAUCGAGGAUGAGAAAAUUGAUUAACACAAAAUCUUUUCAUGUCUUUUCUGAUGAGAGACUAGCUGAAUCCAAGAAGAGAAGCCCUUGAAGAGUGUAUUCUAUUCUAGACAAGCAUUCACACAUUGGCUUCUUUGGUGCCAGCAUGUUUCUGAUCAGCAUGAAAACUGCGCAGGAGCUUUUCUGUCUUGCAGAGCUAGUUAAUGAGAUUGUUGCUGCCUUCAGAUUCUAUAAAGGACUUCUCCAAUAUUGGAUUAAAGAAUGAAGAAAGGAUCAAAUUGAGACAUCCAGGGGGGAAGAGUUCCCUGGCAAAACUCCAAUCUGCCUGAGCACUGAGGUGGAGCCACAGAAGUCCGGGUCAUUUGCACCUGGGAGGAGCCUGGCCCCUCCUCUUCCUGUGUGGAAUCUGGGAUUUAAUCUGUGAGGAGGGAAGGCCAAGGGCAGGAAGCACAGGCUCUCACUUCACUAAGAGUCUCUGUUUCCCCUUUUUUUCCUUUAUGCCUAAUUAAUAAAUCCCAUUUUUCUCACUCUUCAAAUAGUCUUCAAGCCUAAAUUUUCAUGACCAUGGAACAAGGACCCCAUCUUUAGCUGAACUAAGGAAAAGUCCUGCAACAAAAUUCUUUGCUAAAAAUACAUGAGGUUGCCUUUUCCUUCUUAAUCUUAAAAGAAAUAUAUUUCAAUGGUUAACGUUUUAGUAAUUCAAAAAUUAUCAAGCAUUUGUUCACAACCAUAAGAUGUGCAUUGUUUUAUAUUCCUACUUAAUAAUAGACUAUAAUUGUCUAAUUAGACUGCCGAUGUUGAUCUUUGUGGCUCAUUGCAUUGAUUAUAAGCAGUGUUUUGGGUUUGUGUGUGUGUGUCAAAUUUAGGGUUUUUUUGGUAUGGCUGCUGGUU
ensembl:lncRNA LINC02328 long intergenic non-protein coding RNA 2328